AUUGAACGCUGGCGGCAUGCUUUACACAUGCAAGUCGAACGGCAGCGCGGGCUUCGGCCUGGCGGCGAGUGGCGAACGGGUGAGUAAUACAUCGGAACGUGCCCAGUAGAGGGGGAUAGCUCGGCGAAAGCCGGAUUAAUACCGCAUACGACCUGAGGGUGAAAGCGGGGGAUCUUCGGUCCUCGCGCUUUUUGAGCGGCCGAUGGCAGAUUAGCUAGUUGGUGGGGUAAAGGCCUACCAAGGCGACGAACUGUAGCUGGUCUGAGAGGACGACCAGCCACACUGGGACUGAGACACGGCCCAGACUCCUACGGGAGGCAGCAGUGGGGAAUUUUGGACAAUGGGCGAAAGCCUGAUCCAGCAAUGCCGCGUGUGUGAUGAAGGCCUUCGGGUUGUAAAGCACUUUUGGCGGGAACGAAAAGGACUGUGCCAAUACCACGGUUCGAUGACGGUACCCGCAGAAUAAGCACCGGCUAACUACGUG
rnacentral:rRNA from 1 species